rnacentral:misc_RNA from 1 species
GAUGAGGUAUGUGAGGAUGCAACUGUUUGUUGUGCUGUGGUUUGUUUUCCUAUUAGUGAUUCAUAUUCUAUGGUAUGAAUUUUCUCUUGCUUAAUAAUGGACAAUAUCUGUGUACUUGUGAUUUAUGAUGGGUUAUAGCUUUCAAAUUUGGAGUUCUAGGAUUUGGAGUUUGGACUGUAUAAAGCAAGAGUCCUGAAUUGGCAGCUUAAGGAGUGUCUGAACUGGCUGAGAUAU